ACCCCAGUGGACGCGCUCACGGGCCCAGUGUGGAAGGAGCUGUCCGAGGGUCUGCAUCAGGGCUGAGCAUGUCAGAGGGAGUGCCGGGGUCUGAGCUGACAUCCUCCAGGGCACGUGGGCGUCACACCCCCGAUGCGGGUCCU
ensembl:miRNA